rnacentral:rRNA from 1 species
CCUACGGGGUGCUGCAGUGGGGAAUAUUGGACAAUGGGGGCAACCCUGAUCCAGCCAUGCCGCGUGUGUGAAGAAGGCCCUCGGGUUGUAAAGCACUUUCAGUGAGGAAGAACGCCUGGUGGUUAAUACCCAUCAGGAAAGACAUCACUCACAGAAGAAGCACCGGCUAACUCCGUGCCAGCAGCCGCGGUAAUACGGAGGGUGCGAGCGUUAAUCGGAAUUACUGGGCGUAAAGCGCGCGUAGGUGGCUUGAUAAGCCGGUUGUGAAAGCCCCGGGCUCAACCUGGGAACGGCAUCCGGAACUGUCAAGCUAGAGUGCAGGAGAGGAAGGUAGAAUUCCCGGUGUAGCGGUGAAAUGCGUAGAGAUCGGGAGGAAUACCAGUGGCGAAGGCGGCCUUCUGGACUGACACUGACACUGAGGUGCGAAAGCGUGGGUAGCAAACAGGAUUAGAUACCCUAGUAGAC